GUAGGUGGCAAGCGUUGUCCGGAAUUAUUGGGCGUAAAGCGCGCGCAGGCGGUUCUUUAAGUCUGAUGUGAAAGCCCACGGCUCAACCGUGGAGGGUCAUUGGAAACUGGAGAACUUGAGUACAGAAGAGGAAAGCGGAAUUCCACGUGUAGCGGUGAAAUGCGUAGAGAUGUGGAGGAACACCAGUGGCGAAGGCGGCUUUCUGGACUGUAACUGACGCUGAGGCGCGAAAGCGUGGGGAGCAAACAGGGAUUAGAUACCCUGGUAGUCCACGCCGUAAACGAUGAGUGCUAAGUGUUAGGGGGGUUUCCGCCCCCUUAGUGCUGCAGCUAACGCAUUAAGCACUCCGCCUGGGGAGUACGGCCGCAAGGCUG
rnacentral:rRNA from 1 species